UACGUAGGAUGCAAGCGUUGUUCGGAAUUACUGGGCGUAAAGAGUACGUAGGCGGCUUGUCGCGUCGUUCGUGAAAACCUGCAGCUCAACUGCAGGCUUGCGGUCGAUACGGGCAGGCUAGAGUUCGGUAGGGGAGACUGGAAUUCCUGGUGUAGCGGUGAAAUGCGCAGAUAUCAGGAGGAACACCGGUGGCGAAGGCGGGUCUCUGGGCCGAUACUGACGCUGAUGCGCGAAAGCGUGGGGAGCGAUCCGG
rnacentral:rRNA from 1 species